UACCUUGAUCUAUAUAAUCAAUGGUUAAAUUAUUAUCUUGAUUGUGAUCAAGCAUGAAUUUUUGGUUUGAUUCAAGUUUGGUCAAGAGUUGAACCCGAUUGAACAUCCAAAUCCUAGCAUGUCUUAGAGAUAUGUUUUAUGUUAAAAUGUAUGAUGUAUGUAUAGGAUCUUUCUUAGUAGCUUAGUACUCUAAUUGGGGUUCAUCAUCAGGCCAUCCGAUCGUAAGAGCAAGUAGAGUUUAAAGAUCCUCUCUUCAUAUUUCAUAGGAUACUCUUAUGGCGUAUAGGGGUGCCACUGUGAUAUCCCAAAAAGAAGAACCGUGAAAAGAGUAUUUUAUAUUCAUGCAUGUUAAUAAAAUUUCAUGCAUAUGUGAUAUGCUUGAGAUACUUAAUGAUAAUC
rnacentral:lncRNA from 1 species